rnacentral:rRNA from 1 species
AUGGCUUCACAAGAUCUUUGGAUUUGGCAUGCUUAUUUUGGUUUACCAGGGUCUCUGAAUGAUAUAAAUGUUCUUCAACGUUCUCCUGUUUUUACAAAGCUAGCCGAAGGCCAAACUCCUCCAGUGAAUUAUAGCAUCAAUGGCCAUCAGUACACAAUGGGGUAUUACCUUGCAGAUGGUAUCUAUCCACGGUGGGCAACAUUUGUGAAGAGCAUACCAGCUCCAACUAGCAGAAAGCAUAAAACUUUUGCCAAGAAGCAAGAGGGGGCUAGGAAAGAUGUGGAACGAGCCUUUGGAGUUCUGCAAUCCCGUUUUGCCAUUGUUCGUGGACCGGCUAAAGGAUGGAAACGUAAAGAAAUCACUGAUGUCAUGAAAGCUUGUGUCAUAAUGCACAAUAUGAUAGUUGAAGAGGAGCGGCAAACUGGUCGGCAAAGCUGCACUUUUGAGGCAAUGGGAGAAAGAGUCACAGUCUCUCGUACUCAUGCGGAAGAACUGAGCUCUUUUAUUCAGAUGACUAAUCGGAUUAGAAAUUUCGAUGAACAUGAUCAGCUUAAACUUGAUCUA